GGUAACGUUGCGAGGAUCGUGGGCUUCCAGUUUCAUACCAACUUUGAAAUCGUUCUUAGGCGGAAUUCUAGACUACAAUAAAAGGUGCACUAUUUACAACACACCCUGAAUCAGGGUUACCAGGAACCCUGGAGGAGCCUGAGCCCAAAAGCCAAAGAGGCGAGCAAAAUUCAGUGAGCAUCUGCCAGUGCUGAACUCAAGACAGCAGGCUGGCUGAAAGGGGAGCCCAAGCAUAUUAAAUUUAAAGGGCAAUUCAAUUUCAAGAUAUUGCUUGUCAAGCUGUUAUUUUGUACAACAUGGAAAAGCAACAGAAAUUGAGAAAUCAGGGAGUUUGUUUCUUUGUUUGUGGAGAAGGUGAAUUCAAGGCAUUCUUCCAAAAAGGUAAGUCCUCCAUACUAGUUUUUCUUUAAAUAAAAUAACAAAACCUUGCUCAGUAACAGCUUUGCUUUAAGUUCUGCUCUAACCACAAGGGACUGAGCUGUUACGUUUAAAAUUUUCAACUGCCUGGGAAAAAGUUUCAGGGCAAGAAAAAGGAAUAAGAAGUGCAUUAAAAUUUUAAGUAGCUAUUAAAAACAACUUAAAGCAACAGAUAAAACACCUUCUAAAUUAAGAUAAAUACUUUAAUCAAUUUCCAUUAUCUGUCUGUGUCUUAAUUUAUGGUAGAGGCUUUAAUUUAUUGUUAUCCAGGUAAUUUUUAAUUACUACAAAAUUUAAAUUUUUAAAAUUCCCACAGGUCACAAAUUCUGGAAGUAACUGUCAAAUUAAUUUUCUUGCUGCUCUUUAUUUUCUGGCUGGUCACAGCAAUGUAUUUCUUCACAUUACAUAAAGUAAUAAUGACAUGUACAAUUCAUGUGUAACCCAAUAAAAGUCAAAUUAGUACUAAACAAAGCACAAGCACUUUAGGUUCAAAAAUCUGCAAACAUUAUGUAGUGAGAGGAUCUAGCUCUGCACUUAUCACCAUUGUGUAUCACUUUCUACUUAAAGGUCAACUCUUAAAAAAUGAAAAUCUGCAUAUGCAAAUUGUUUUGAAAUUUGCUGUGCACAUAAAUUAAAGCUCUUCUUUCCAAUUCACACACUCCUUAAGCAAUCCAGGUCACAUGGAUUUAUCCCUGUCAAUGCACGUCACCUCAGCACCUCUAUUCAAGGCAUUAUUUGGUUGCUCAGUUCAGACUUUUUGACCAUUACUAGGCGACAGGAAAAUGCAAGAAAGAUACAUGGAAAGGCUUUUGAGCAGCUUUCUGCAGUAGUUACAUUCCUUGGGAUCAUAAACUCUGGUCAUGGUGGUUUAUGGUCUGUGAGUAUGGCAUUAACCUCAGAAAGAUCCAGGGACAACUUACAACCCUCUGCCUCUACCCAGGAGGAGUUUGAGGUGUCUGCCUUGUGAAAAACACAUUCUGUGAAAUUAAUUUCUGCAGCUCCCCUCAGAGCCAUGAACAUCAGUGGUUUUAGCCACCUCCCACUGAAUGCAGCAUGUGAGGGGCUCUUCACCCCUCAUCUACAAAGAGCAAGCUAAGAUUCAAGAUCUAGCAUGAAGAAAUGCUACCACCUGUGUUUCUCUCUCCUAAUUCUCCAUUCCUGCAACUGCUUCAGACUCACUGAGUGAUGGUUCCUCUCCUUCUCAGACUAUUCAAUUUGUGCUGCUUUUUAUUUGGGCCCCCACUGGAGGCCAGUAUCAUUUACAGUACAGUCAGACCCCCAACAGACCCUAGAAAACAAUUUCAGAACAUGCCCAAGCCACUAAACUAGACAUGCACUGCUUGUCACACCUAUUACACUUCUAUGAACCUGAACAAUCCAAUUCUUUAGCAACUAUCUUACUAACACAGUGAGGGCACACAGACCAAAAUGAAUCUUAUUUAAUUUUACACAGACAAGAUACACCUCAGCUUGGGAAAACAGAGAGAAAGAUGCCUAAAGAGAUCGACUCAGUCUCCAGAGGGCUGAACAGCUGGAGGUCAUUAGGUUACACAAGAUGGUAGAUUGAAACUGCAUCUGCAAAUACAUACUAAGUCAUCAAGUAGGGGGGAUCAAAAUUUGUAGGCUACAGGGUAACACAAAAUAGUACAUUAAACAUCAUAAAUCCAGUACUUCCUUUGUAUUCCCAUAUAUUCCUCUUGAUUUUAAUUUUUUUUUAAUUUUAGUAUCUAUUACCCCUAAGUAGAAAACACUCUGUUAAGAAAGAGACAAAAUUAAACAUAUUAGAGAUCCAGGAAAAAAGUGGUGACUCAACUCUACUACACACACAUCUUAUAGCUAGACAGAAUUGAAAGAAAUGUUUCAAAAAUGGGGCAAAGACUCCUCUGACAAUCAGCCAAAUUUUAAAUGCUCACUAAAACCAUGGUAGCGUUAAGAUUAUUGAAAAAAAGUAGCAAACCUUUUUGAACACUGACAAAGCUAUCUGUUUUCAUUAAGUAGUUUUUUUUUUUUAAAGGAAAACAGAGUUCAAAGACACAAUUAUAAUGAAACCCUCAAAAUUUGGCUCGAGGCAGAAACCAGGAAUGAAAAAACUUCCGUAGCUAGUAACUGCCAAAACUGUAAGCUACUGAUAACUACAGAUGAAAAGAAGUCAAAUGGGAAGUCUGUAAGCAGUCUAAAUGAGAAAGUUUUUCUAGGCUCACCCUGUAACAGGCAUACAAUACACACACACUUGCAAAAUAGUAUCUGGCAUACCUGUCUGAAACAAUGCAGAGGGGCAGCUACUGAUUCAGUCUCUUUCAGAUAAUCAUCCCAAUUAAACUGUUCUGGAAGACACAA